AGGACCGGAUUGAAACAAUAUUAAAAUAUGCAGUAAAAUUUAAAAGAAAUAAUAAAUUUAAUUUAAACAACCCCAAAAAGAAAAGGACCAAUCGCGCAAAUGGCCCCUUUUGAACCCUUAUAAAAUCCCAUUUCAAAACCCUUUCUCUGCCAUUUUUGUAUUUGCCGCAGCCUCCCUUCCACCAUUUCAGACCCAUUUCUGACCGGCAACAACGACGACGACGGCGCCACGACGGCGCGCUACCACCGUUUGUUGUUUGCUACAGGAAGAACGUGCUGGAGCGCGAGGCAACGUGCGACGUGCAAGGACGACGUGGGGCAAGCAGUCUCGGCUAUCUGCUGCUUAGGGUUUUUGUGACUUUAGGCCACUUGGGCCUUGUAAUUGGGUCAAGCUCGGCCCAAGUUUUAUUGGGUUUAAUUGUAUUUAAUUUGGGCUAUGUUAAUGAUUUUAGGUUGGUCUUAUUUUGAAUGGGCCGGGCAAAAAUGGGCUAUUACAUGCUUAACCCAAAAAUUUAAUAAUAAAAAUAAUUAGAUAGUUUAUAAGAA